CCUACGGGUGGCUGCAGUGAGGAAUAUUGGUCAAUGGGCGCAAGCCUGAACCAGCCAUCCCGCGUGCAGGAAGACGGCCCUAUGGGUUGUAAACUGCUUUUCCAGGGGGAGAAACUUGCGCACGUGUUGCGCAAUUGACGGUACCCUGGGAAUAAGCAUCGGCUAACUCCGUGCCAGCAUCCGCGGUAAUACGGAGGAUGCGGGCUCAUUCCGGAUUCAUUGGGCGUAGAGGGACUAUUAGCGGACUAUUGAAAUCCUGCAGCUUAACUGCAGAACUGCCAUUGAUACUGAUAGCCUUGAGUUUGGUUAAGGUAGGCGGAAUGUGUAAUGUAGCGGUGAAAUGCUUAGAUAUUACACAGAACACCAAUUGCGUAGGCAGCUUACUGAGCCGACACUGACGCUGAGGCACGAAAGCGUGGGGAUCGAACAGGAUUAGAUACCCUGGUAGUC
rnacentral:rRNA from 1 species